AGCUAAUAGAUACCCCGGUAGUCCACGCUGUAAACGAUGAUGACUAGCUGUCUGGGCGCUUAGCGUUCAGGUGGCGCAGCUAACGCGUUAAGUCAUCCGCCUGGGGAGUACGGCCGCAAGGUUAAAACUCAAAGAAAUUGACGGGGGCCUGCACAAGCGGUGGAGCAUGUGGUUUAAUUCGAAGCAACGCGCAGAACCUUACCAGCGUUUGACAUGCCAGGACGGUUUCCAGAGAUGGAUUCCUUCCCUUACGGGACCUGGACACAGGUGCUGCAUGGCUGUCGUCAGCUCGUGUCGUGACGAUGUUGGGUUAAGUCCCGNAACGAGCGCAACCCUCGUCUUAGUUGCUACCGAUUCAGUUGGGCACUCUAA
rnacentral:rRNA from 1 species